UGGGGAAUAUUGGACAAUGGGCGCAAGCCUGAUCCAGCAAUGCCGCGUGUGUGAAGAAGGCCUUCGGGUUGUAAAGCACUUUUAUCAGGAGCGAAACGCUGUCGGCUAAUACCCGGCGGAACUGACGGUACCUGAGGAAUAAGCACCGGCUAACUUCGUGCCAGCAGCCGCGGUAAUACGAAGGGUGCAAGCGUUAAAUCGGAAUUACUGGGCGUAAAAGCGUGCGUAGGCGGUUUCUUAAGUCUGCUGUGAAAUCCCCGGGCUCAACCUGGGAAUGGCAGUGGAUACUGGGAGGCUAGAGUGUGUCAGAGGGUGGUGGAAUUCCCGGUGUAGCGGUGAAAAUGCGUAGAGAUCGGGAGGAACAUCAGUGGCGAAGGCGGCCACCUGGGACAACACUGACGCUGAGGCACGAAAAGCGUGGGGAGCAAAACAGGAUUAGAUACCCUGGUAGUCCACGCCCUAAAAACGAAUGCGAACUGGAUGUUGGUCUCAAACUCGGAGAUCAGUGUCGAAAGCUAACGCGUUAAAGUUCGCCGCCUGGGGGAAGUACGGUCGCAAGACUG
rnacentral:rRNA from 1 species